AUUGAACGAGGGAGGGAGGAAGAACACAGGCAAGUCGAGCGGAUGAAGGGAGCUUGCUCCUGGAUUCAGCGGCGGACGGGUGAGUAAUGCCUAGGAAUCUGCCUGGUAGUGGGGGAUAACGUCCGGAAACGGGCGCUAAUACCGCAUACGUCCUGAGGGAGAAAGUGGGGGAUCUUCGGACCUCACGCUAUCAGAUGCGCCUAGGUCGGCUUAGCUAGUUGGUGGGGUAAAGGCCUACCAAGGCGACGAUCCGUAACUGGUCUGAGAGGAUGAUCAGUCACACUGGAACUGAGACACGGUCCAGACUCCUACGGGAGGCAGCAGUGGGGAAUAUUGGACAAUGGGCGAAAGCCUGAUCCAGCCAUGCCGCGUGUGUGAAGAAGGUCUUCGGAUUGUAAAGCACUUUAAGUUGGGAGGAAGGGCAGUAAGUUAAUACCUUGCUGUUUUGACGUUACCAACAGAAUAAGCACCGGCUAACUUCGUG
rnacentral:rRNA from 1 species